GGUUAAGCGACUAAGCGUACACGGUGGAUGCCUUGGCAGUCAGAGGCGAUGAAGGACGUGCUAAUCUGCGAUAAGCGUCGGUAAGGUGAUAUGAACCGUUAUAACCGGCGAUUUCCGAAUGGGGAAACCCAGUGUGUUUCGACACACUAUCAUUAACUGAAUCCAUAGGUUAAUGAGGCGAACCGGGGGAACUGAAACAUCUAAGUACCCCGAGGAAAAGAAAUCAACCGAGAUUCCCCCAGUAGCGGCGAGCGAACGGGGAGCAGCCCAGAGCCUGAAUCAGUGUGUGUGUUAGUGGAAGCGUCUGGAAAGGCGCGCGAUACAGGGUGACAGCCCCGUACACAAAAAUGCACAUACUGUGAGCUCGAUGAGUAGGGCGGGACACGUGGUAUCCUGUCUGAAUAUGGGGGGACCAUCCUCCAAGGCUAAAUACUCCUGACUGACCGAUAGUGAACCAGUACCGUGAGGGAAAGGCGAAAAGAACCCCGGCGAGGGGAGUGAAAAAGAACCUGAAACCGUGUACGUACAAGCAGUGGGAGCCUCUUAAUGGGGUGACUGCGUACCUUUUGUAUAAUGGGUCAGCGACUUAUAUUCUGUAGCAAGGUUAACCGAAUAGGGGAGCCGAAGGGAAACCGAGUCUUAACUGGGCGUUAAGUUGCAGGGUAUAGACCCGAAACCCGGUGAUCUAGCCAUGGGCAGGUUGAAGGUUGGGUAACACUAACUGGAGGACCGAACCGACUAAUGUUGAAAAAUUAGCGGAUGACUUGUGGCUGGGGGUGAAAGGCCAAUCAAACCGGGAGAUAGCUGGUUCUCCCCGAAAGCUAUUUAGGUAGCGCCUCGUGAAUUCAUCUCCGGGGGUAGAGCACUGUUUCGGCAAGGGGGUCAUCCCGACUUACCAACCCGAUGCAAACUGCGAAUACCGGAGAAUGUUAUCACGGGAGACACACGGCGGGUGCUAACGUCCGUCGUGAAGAGGGAAACAACCCAGACCGCCAGCUAAGGUCCCAAAGUCAUGGUUAAGUGGGAAACGAUGUGGGAAGGCCCAGACAGCCAGGAUGUUGGCUUAGAAGCAGCCAUCAUUUAAAGAAAGCGUAAUAGCUCACUGGUCGAGUCGGCCUGCGCGGAAGAUGUAACGGGGCUAAACCAUGCACCGAAGCUGCGGCAGCGACACUAUGUGUUGUUGGGUAGGGGAGCGUUCUGUAAGCCUGCGAAGGUGUACUGUGAGGUAUGCUGGAGGUAUCAGAAGUGCGAAUGCUGACAUAAGUAACGAUAAAGCGGGUGAAAAGCCCGCUCGCCGGAAGACCAAGGGUUCCUGUCCAACGUUAAUCGGGGCAGGGUGAGUCGACCCCUAAGGCGAGGCCGAAAGGCGUAGUCGAUGGGAAACAGGUUAAUAUUCCUGUACUUGGUGUUACUGCGAAGGGGGGACGGAGAAGGCUAUGUUGGCCGGGCGACGGUUGUCCCGGUUUAAGCGUGUAGGCUGGUUUUCCAGGCAAAUCCGGAAAAUCAAGGCUGAGGCGUGAUGACGAGGCACUACGGUGCUGAAGCAACAAAUGCCCUGCUUCCAGGAAAAGCCUCUAAGCAUCAGGUAACAUCAAAUCGUACCCCAAACCGACACAGGUGGUCAGGUAGAGAAUACCAAGGCGCUUGAGAGAACUCGGGUGAAGGAACUAGGCAAAAUGGUGCCGUAACUUCGGGAGAAGGCACGCUGAUAUGUAGGUGAAGUCCCUCGCGGAUGGAGCUGAAAUCAGUCGAAGAUACCAGCUGGCUGCAACUGUUUAUUAAAAACACAGCACUGUGCAAACACGAAAGUGGACGUAUACGGUGUGACGCCUGCCCGGUGCCGGAAGGUUAAUUGAUGGGGUUAGCGGUAACGCGAAGCUCUUGAUCGAAGCCCCGGUAAACGGCGGCCGUAACUAUAACGGUCCUAAGGUAGCGAAAUUCCUUGUCGGGUAAGUUCCGACCUGCACGAAUGGCGUAAUGAUGGCCAGGCUGUCUCCACCCGAGACUCAGUGAAAUUGAACUCGCUGUGAAGAUGCAGUGUACCCGCGGCAAGACGGAAAGACCCCGUGAACCUUUACUAUAGCUUGACACUGAACAUUGAGCCUUGAUGUGUAGGAUAGGUGGGAGGCUUUGAAGUGUGGACGCCAGUCUGCAUGGAGCCGGCCUUGAAAUACCACCCUUUAAUGUUUGAUGUUCUAACGUUGGCCCCUGAUCGGGGUUGCGGACAGUGUCUGGUGGGUAGUUUGACUGGGGCGGUCUCCUCCUAAAGAGUAACGGAGGAGCACGAAGGUUGGCUAAUCCUGGUCGGACAUCAGGAGGUUAGUGCAAUGGCAUAAGCCAGCUUGACUGCGAGCGUGACGGCGCGAGCAGGUGCGAAAGCAGGUCAUAGUGAUCCGGUGGUUCUGAAUGGAAGGGCCAUCGCUCAACGGAUAAAAGGUACUCCGGGGAUAACAGGCUGAUACCGCCCAAGAGUUCAUAUCGACGGCGGUGUUUGGCACCUCGAUGUCGGCUCAUCACAUCCUGGGGCUGAAGUAGGUCCCAAGGGUAUGGCUGUUCGCCAUUUAAAGUGGUACGCGAGCUGGGUUUAGAACGUCGUGAGACAGUUCGGUCCCUAUCUGCCGUGGGCGCUGGAGAACUGAGGGGGGCUGCUCCUAGUACGAGAGGACCGGAGUGGACGCAUCACUGGUGUUCGGGUUGUCAUGCCAAUGGCACUGCCCGGUAGCUAAAUGCGGAAGAGAUAAGUGCUGAAAGCAUCUAAGCACGAAACUUGCCCCGAGAUGAGUUCUCCCUGACUCCUUGAGAGUCCUGAAGAAACGUUGAAGACGACGACGUUGAUAGGCCGGGUGUGUAAGCGCAGCGAUGCGUUGAGCUAACCGGUACUAAUGAACCGUGAGGCUUAACCUU
rnacentral:rRNA from 1 species